rnacentral:rRNA from 1 species
UACGAAGGGGGCUAGCGUUGUUCGGAAUUACUGGGCGUAAAGCGCACGUAGGCGGACUUUUAAGUCAGGGGUGAAAUCCCGGGGCUCAACCUCGGAACUGCCUUUGAUACUGGAAGUCUUGAGUAUGGAAGAGGUAAGUGGAAUUGCGAGUGUAGAGGUGAAAUUCGUAGAUAUUCGCAGGAACACCAGUGGCGAAGGCGGCUUACUGGUCCAUUACUGACGCUGAGGUGCGAAAGCGUGGGGAGCAAACAG